GGUUCAGGACGAACGCUGGCGGCGUGCCUAACACAUGCAAGUCGAGCGAUGAAGCCCUUCGGGGCUGAUUAGCGGCGGACGGGUGAGUAACACGUGGGUAACCUGCCUCAUAGAGGGGGAUAGCCUCCCGAAAGGGAGAUUAAUACCGCAUAACAUAUUUUGGUUGCAUGACCGAAAUAUCAAAGGAGUAAUCCGCUAUGAGAUGGACCCGCGGCGCAUUAGCUAGUUGGUGAGGUAAGGGCUCACCAAGGCGACGAUGCGUAGCCGACCUGAGAGGGUGAUCGGCCACAUUGGAACUGAGACACGGUCCAGACUCCUACGGGAGGCAGCAGUGGGGAAUAUUGCGCAAUGGAGGAAACUCUGACGCAAGCAACGCCGCGUGAAUGAUGAAGGCCUUAGGGUUGUAAAGUUCUGUCUUCUGGGACGAUAAUGACGGUACCAGAGGAGGAAGCCACGGCUAACUACGUGCCAGCAGCCGC
rnacentral:rRNA from 1 species